rnacentral:rRNA from 1 species
GAUGAACGCUGGCGGCGUGCCUAAUACAUGCAAGUCGAGCGAACAGACGAGGAGCUUGCUCCUCUGACGUUAGCGGCGGACGGGUGAGUAACACGUGGAUAACCUACCUAUAAGACUGGGAUAACUUCGGGAAACCGGAGCUAAUACCGGAUAAUAUAUUGAACCGCAUGGUUCAAUAGUGAAAGACGGCUUUGCUGUCACUUAUAGAUGGAUCCGCGCCGCAUUAGCUAGUUGGUAAGGUAACGGCUUACCAAGGCGACGAUGCGUAGCCGACCUGAGAGGGUGAUCGGCCACACUGGAACUGAGACACGGUCCAGACUCCUACGGGAGGCAGCAGUGGGGAAUCUUCCGCAAUGGGCGAAAGCCUGACGGAGCAACGCCGCGUGAGUGAUGAAGGUCUUCGGAUCGUAAACCUCUGUUAUUAGGGAAGAACAAAUGUGUAAGUAACUAUGCACGUCUUGACGGUACCUAAUCAGAAAGCCACGGCUAACUACGUG